GGGCGUUUAGCUCAGUUGGUAGAGCGUCUGCCUUACAAGCAGAAUGUCGGCGGUUC
rnacentral:tRNA from 1 species